ACGGGUGAGUAACACGUAGGUAACCUGCCUAUGAGACUGGGAUAACUAUCGGAAACGAUAGCUAAGACCGGAUAACUGGUUUUCUCGCAUGAGAGAAUCAUGAAACACGGAGCAAUCUGUGGCUUAUAGAUGGGCCUGCGGCGCAUUAGCUAGUUGGUAGGGUAAUGGCCUACCAAGGCGACGAUGCGUAGCCGACCUGAGAGGGUGACCGGCCACACUGGGACUGAGACACGGCCCAGACUCCUACGGGAGGCAGCAGUAGGGAAUCUUCCGCAAUGGACGCAAGUCUGACGGAGCAACGCCGCGUGAGUGAUGAAGGUUUUCGGAUCGUAAAGCUCUGUUGCCCUAGACGAACAGCAAGGAGAGUAACUGCUCUUUGUGUGACGGUAUAGGAGAAGAAAGCCCCGGCUAACUACGUGCCAGCAGCCGCGGUAAUACGUAGGGGGCAAGCGUUGUCCGGAAUUAUUGGGCGUAAAGCGCGCGCAGGCGGUUAAUUAAGUUGGGUGUUUAAGCCCGGGGCUCAACCCCGGUUCGCAUCCAAAACUGGUUGACUUGAGUGUAGGAGAGGAAAGUGGAAUUCCACGUGUAGC
rnacentral:rRNA from 1 species